rnacentral:misc_RNA from 1 species
GACGAACCGUGCGAACGUUGUUCGGAAUCACUGGGCUUAAAGGGCGCGUAGGCGGAUUCGCCAGUCUGGGGUGAAAUCUUUCGGCUUAACCGGAAAAGUGCCUUGGAUACUGCGGAUCUGGAGGGAGGUAGGGGCAUGUGGAACUUCCGGUGGAGCGGUGAAAUGCGUUGAUAUCGGAAGGAACGCCGGUGGCGAAAGCGACGUGCUGGACCUCUUCUGACGCUGAGGCGCGAAAGCCAGGGGAGCAAACGGG